CUCGGGUAAGCGACCUAGAACUAUUCUAGGAUUUUGGGUGAGAGAAAAAUCAAAGAGAAGAGAGUCUUCAUCAUAUUUUUUUUCACCAUCCAGCAUCUCCUCUGAUCCAUCUUCGAUAUCAAAAAGGUUUGAUAUGAUUGAAAGAAGAAAUCAAAUCAGAUCUGCCAUCAGAAGCCGACUACAUGAGCUAGCACUCCCACAAAGAGCUGAUUGAUCCAAAGACUUCAUGUGGACUAUCCGUAGAGGUCGAAUGCUUAUGUGGCUAUGAGCGACUAGGGAGGACUUUUAGAUCUACAUUCUCAAUUGUGAAGAUCGACUACCCUCGCUCAGGUA
rnacentral:lncRNA from 1 species